rnacentral:rRNA from 1 species
UACGUAGGGGGCGAGCGUUGUCCGGAUUUAUUGGGCGUAAAGAGCUCGUAGGCGGCUGUUCAAGUCGAACGUGAAAACUCGGAGCUCAACUCCGACCUGCGUUCGAUACUGGGCGGCUAGAGUCUGGUAGGGGGACCUGGAAUUCCUGGUGUAGCGGUGGAAUGCGCAGAGUAUCAGGAGGAACACCGGUGGCGAAGGCGGGG